GUGGCAACUUUGUGAAUGAGAUGGUCUUCUUUUUUGAAGGUAAAGUAACUUGUUGGUGAGGAAACAACUUUUGUCAGAGAAGCAUCUGGCUGAUAAUUUUGUUGAUGAUUUGUUGGUGGAGCAUCUGGUCGGUGAAAAAAUAAACUUUUACUGGAGAAGCAUCUGGCUAAUAACUUUGUUAGUAGGGCAGCACAUGUUGGUGAAGCAUUUUGGUAAGGCAACCAUUUUGUCGAUG
rnacentral:lncRNA from 1 species